GACGAACGCUGGCGGCGUGCUUAACACAUGCAAGUCGAACGAAGUGGCGAACGGGUGAGUAACGUGUAAUCAACCUGCCCUUCAGAGGGGGACAACAGUUGGAAACGACUGCUAAUACCGCAUACUGAAGGAGGGGAUUGCGUCUGAUUAGCUAGCUGGAGGGGUAACGGCCCACCAAGGCGAAGAUAAGUAGCCGGGCUGAGGAGGUGAACCGGCAACUUGGGAACGGGGACCGGCCCAAAACCCUUAGGGAGGCAGCAGGGGGGAAUUUUCCGCAAUGGGGGAAAGUCUGACGGAACACCGCCGGGGGAUGGAUGGCGGCCUUCGGGUUGUAAAGCUCUGUUAAUCGGGACGCGGUACCGGAAUAGAAAGCCACGGCUAACUACGUGCCAGCAGCCGCGGUAAUAC
rnacentral:rRNA from 1 species